rnacentral:misc_RNA from 1 species
AACUUUUGACAAUGGAUCUCUUGGUUCUGGCAUCGAUGAAGAACGCAGCGAAAUGCGAUACGUAAUGUGAAUUGCAGAUUUCAGUGAAUCAUCGAAUCUUUGAACGCACAUUGCGCCCGCCAGUAUUCUGGCGGGCAUGCCUGUUCGAGCGUCAUUUCAACCAUCAAGCCCCCGGCUUGUGUUGGAGCCCUGCGGCCGCCGCAGACUCCCAAAUACAGUGGCGGGCUCGUCGUCGUACCGAGUGCAGUAAACAUCCUCGCUCAGGGAACGUGACGGGUUCUUGCCGUGAAACACCCCACAUAUCAAGGUUGACCUCGGAUCAGGUAGGAAUACCCGCUGAACUUAAGCAUAUCAAUAAGCGGAGGCU